GGGGACUAAUUAGAUAACUGGUGAAAUGUUAAUUGGCCCAGCCUUCCACCGCAUCCUCGAAGUGGAAAGAUUUAAGUAGCAUCCUUUCCCUCCGCCCUCCCAUCCCCCUGCACUCAGAGUGGACCUCACUUUGAGGAGCCAAGGUUACUGAGCCGGGAGGAGUGACAGCUCUCAUCAAGUAGCCAAUGGACUCUCAUCCAUCUUUUCAGCUUGCCAGAAGUGGACGACACAAACCCAAUCAUCCAGAAGGCUAGAGAAAUACCAGGGUAGAAGUUAUACAAG